GAUGAACGCUGGCGGCGUGCCUAAUACAUGCAAGUCGAGCGAACAGACGAGGAGCUUGCUCCUCUGACGUUAGCGGCGGGCGGGUGAGUAACACGUGGAUAACCUACCUAUAAGACUGGGAUAACUUCGGGAAACCGGAGCUAAUACCGGAUAAUAUAUUGAACCGCAUGGUUCAAUAGUGAAAGACGGUUUUGCUGUCACUUAUAGAUGGAUCCGCGCCGCAUUAGCUAGUUGGUAAGGUAACGGCUUACCAAGGCAACGAUGCGUAGCCGACCUGAGAGGGUGAUCGGCCACACUGGAACUGAGACACGGUCCAGACUCCUACGGGAGGCAGCAGUAGGGAAUCUUCCGCAAUGGGCGAAAGCCUGACGGAGCAACGCCGCGUGAGUGAUGAAGGUCUUCGGAUCGUAAAACUCUGUUAUUAGGGAAGAACAAAUGUGCAAGUAACUAUGCACGUCUUGACGGUACCUAAUCAGAAAGCCACGGCUAACUACGUG
rnacentral:rRNA from 1 species